AUUGAACGCUGGCGGAAUGCUUUACACAUGCAAGUCGAACGGCAGCACGGGGGCAACCCUGGUGGCGAGUGGCGAACGGGUGAGUAAUACAUCGGAACGUGCCCAGUCGUGGGGGAUAACGUAGCGAAAGCUACGCUAAUACCGCAUACGAUCUACGGAUGAAAGCGGGGGAUCGCAAGACCUCGCGCGAUUGGAGCGGCCGAUGGCAGAUUAGGUAGUUGGUGGGGUAAAGGCUCACCAAGCCGACGAUCUGUAGCUGGUCUGAGAGGACGACCAGCCACACUGGGACUGAGACACGGCCCAGACUCCUACGGGAGGCAGCAGUGGGGAAUUUUGGACAAUGGGCGCAAGCCUGAUCCAGCCAUUCCGCGUGCAGGAUGAAGGCCUUCGGGUUGUAAACUGCUUUUGUACGGAACGAAACGGCUCUCUCUAAUACAGGGGGCUAAUGACGGUACCGUAAGAAUAAGCACCGGCUAACUACGUGCCAGCCGCCGCAGUAACAC
rnacentral:rRNA from 1 species